rnacentral:rRNA from 1 species
AGAUACCCUGGUAGUCCACGCCCUAAACGAUGUCAACUAGUUGUCGGGAGAGGAGACUUUCUUGGUAACGCAGCUAACGCGUGAAGUUGACCGCCUGGGGAGUACGGCCGCAAGGUUAAAACUCAAAGGAAUCGACGGGGGCCCGCACAAGCGGUGGAUUAUGUGGAUUAAUUCGAUGCAACGCGAAAAACCUUACCUACCCUUGACAUGCCAGGAACUUGCCAGAGAUGGCUUGGUGCCCGAAAGGGAACCUGGACACAGGUGCUGCAUGGCUGUCGUCAGCUCGUGUCGUGAGAUGUUGGGUUAAGUCCCGCAACGAGCGCAACCCUUGUCAUUAAUUGCCAUCAUUCAGUUGGGCACUUUAAUGAGACUGCCGGUGACAAACCGGAGGAAGGUGGGGAUGACGUCAAGUCCUCAUGGCCCUUAUGGGUAGGGCUUCACACGUAAUACAAUGGUCGGUACAGAGGGUCGCCAACCACGCGAGGGGGAGCCAAUCCCAG